UAACUCCGGGAAACCGGAGCUAAUACCGGGUAAUACAUAGCAUCGCAUGAUGCAACGUUGAAAGUUGGCCUUUGGCUAACACUGUAGGAUGGGCCCGCGGCGCAUUAGCUAGUUGGUAAGGUAACGGCUUACCAAGGCCACGAUGCGUAGCCGACCUGAGAGGGUGAUCGGCCACACUGGGACUGAGACACGGCCCAGACUCCUACGGGAGGCAGCAGUAGGGAAUCUUCCGCAAUGGACGAAAGUCUGACGGAGCAACGCCGCGUGAGUGACGAAGGCCUUCGGGUCGUAAAGCUCUGUUGUUAGGGAAGAACAAGUACCGUUCGAAUAGGGCGGUACCUUGACGGUACCUAACCAGAAAGCCACGGCUAACUACGUGCCAGCAGCCGCGGUAAUACGUAGGUGGCAAGCGUUGUCCGGAAUUAUUGGGCGUAAAGCGCGCGCAGGCGGUCUCUUAAGUCUGAUGUGAAAGCCCACGGCUCAACCGUGGAGGGCCAUUGGAAACUGGGGGACUUGAGUGCAGAAGAGGAGAGUGGAAUUCCACGUGUAGCGGUGAAAUGCGUAGAUAUGUGGAGGAACACCAGUGGCGAAGGCGGCUCUCUGGUCUGUAACUGACGCUGAGGCGCGAAAGCGUGGGGAGCGAACAGGAUUAGAUACCCUGGUAGUCCACGCCGUAAACGAUGAGUGCUAGGUGUUGGGGGGUUCCACCCUCAGUGCUGAAGUUAACACAUUAAGCACUCCGCCUGGGGAGUACGACCGCAAGGUUGAAACUCAAAGGAAUUGACGGGGGCCCGCACAAGCAGUGGAGCAUGUGGUUUAAUUCGAAGCAACGCGAAGAACCUUACCAGGUCUUGACAUCCUCUGCCACUCC
rnacentral:rRNA from 2 species